UACGGGGGGAGCAAGCGUUGUUCGGAUUUACUGGGCGUAAAGAGCGCGCAGGCGGUCGAUUUAGUCGCGUGUGAAAGCCCCCGGCUCAACUGGGGAGGGUCACGCGAUACUGAUCGACUCGAAGGCAGGAGAGGGUAGUGGAAUUCCCGGUGUAGUGGUGAAAUGCGUAGAUAUCGGGAGGAACACCGGUGGCGAAGGCGGGUCUCUGGGCAGUAACUGACGCUGAGGAGCGAAAGCGUGGGGAGCGAACAGG
rnacentral:rRNA from 1 species